UUUGACGCUGAGAGAGAGAGAGAGAGAGAGAGAGAGAGAGAGAGAGACUCUUUCUGGCUACCCAUUUGGCCAUUUGAAGCAUUUGACCCCCCUACAAUCCACUUACUCUCUUCUUGUUUAGCUUCAGGGAAAUCAAGUUCUGGGCUUUGUUUUGAUCUUCAUAAUAUCUAAAUUAAGAACUGGGUUUUAGUUUUAUGUGAAGAAGUGAGGUUCACUUGAAAUCUUGUUUCAGAAAUGGACAAAAGAAAGAAAAUAGUUUCUUAUUUGAAUAAAGGUGUAGAGGUUUCGACCCAAUUAUUGGUGGAAAAGCAUCUUCUACUUUUCAUACUCCCUCUGAUAUUAGUUGUUUGGGUUAUUGAGAAAUGGGUUUUCUCUUUCUCCAAUUGGGUUUCUCUUGUGGUCACUGUCUGGGCAACUAUCCAGUAUAGUAGUUAUCAACGACAAAUCCAUGUAGAGGAUUUGAAUAGAAAAUGGAAUCAAGUCAUACUAUGUCGCCAGGAACACCAUUGGAGCACUGUGAGUGGCUGAACAAGUUAUUAAUGGAAAUUUGGCCAAACUACAUUCACCCAAAGCUUUCCACAAGGUUCU